rnacentral:lncRNA from 1 species
GUUCAUAGAUACGCAUACAGGAUGUAAAAGCAAACCAGUGGUACUUCCUUCCUGCCCUGAGAUUCCAUCCGUGACUGCUUUGCAGCAGUGGAGGGUCCAACCCAGCCCCCUCUGCUGCCUGUGUAUAUGAUGUUCACUGCAGCUCUGUCCCUGCAGAUGUCUUGAGAAAUGUGCUUGCUGUAAAUUGUAUUGUACCGCUGACGUGACCGGGGCCACCCCCUCCUCCCACCCACUGCCACCAUGCAAGGACCAGAGCUCCCACCAGCCCAGGGGACACUUUUCCUAGCACAGGACUGGUGUCCUGCAGCGCCUUGCCUCUAGGGCAGCAAGUACUGCCCAAAGCCUCUCGUAUAAAACAAUUCUGGGGGAGCCAAAGAACCUUUCCUGCCCCUGGAAGGGACUUGCUGGCAGUGUCUCCAUGCUUUGGAAACGGAUCCCCUUAGAGCACGACGAGUGCUCCUGGCUGAAGCAGCAUCCCAGCUCUGUUUGCCCAGCCCUGCAUAAACCUGGCACUGCCAAGCUCCCCCCAGCCCAGGUGUGAGCAGCAGCCUGCUCUCAGGCAAUGGGUAAAAUUAACAACCCAGCGCUUUCACACCUCCUUCCGAAGCACUGUAGAGGGGACAACACCUCCACCUCCUGUGGGAGCUGUGACCAGCUGCAAGCCAGCACAGCCAGAGGGCCCAGCCAAAGACCCUCCUCUGGUCCAAAGAGCAUGGCCCCCAGCUAUCCCAGCACCAUCAGCUGCUUUGUAAAUGUAGAUGUUUGACAUACUCCUGCUGCUUUUUCUUCUCACAUUCCCUUCUCUGAGCCAACCCCACUGCUACAAGAGAA